ACCAAGGCAACGAUCGGUAGCCGGACUGAGAGGUUGAACGGCCACAUUGGGACUGAGACACGGCCCAGACUCCUACGGGAGGCAGCAGUGGGGAAUAUUGCACAAUGGGGGGAACCCUGAUGCAGCGACGCUGCGUGGAGGAAGAAGGUCCUCGGAUUGUAAACUCCUGUUGUUGAGGAAGAUAAUGACGGUACUCAACAAGGAAGUGACGGCUAACUACGUGCCAGCAGCCGCGGUAAAACGUAGGUCACAAGCGUUGUCCGGAAUUACUGGGUGUAAAGGGAGCGCAGGCGGGCGAUCAAGUUGGAAGUGAAAUCCAUGGGCUCAACCCAUGAACUGCUUUCAAAACUGAUUGUCUUGAGUAGUGCAGAGGUAGGCGGAAUUCCCGGUGUAGCGGUGGAAUGCGUAGAUAUCGGGAGGAACACCAGUGGCGAAGGCGGCCUACUGGGCACCAACUGACGCUGAGGCUCGAAAGUGUGGGUAGCAAACAGGAUUAGAUACCCUGGUAGUCCACACCGUAAACGAUGAUUACUAGGUGUUGGAGGAUUGACCCCUUCAGUGCCGCAGUUAACACAAUAAGUAAUCCACCUGGGGAGUACGACCGCAAGGUUGAAACUCAAAGGAAUUGACGGGGGCCCGCACAAGCAGUGGAGUAUGUGGUUUAAUUCGACGCAACGCGAAGAACCUUACCAAGUCUUGACAUCCUGCGACGGACAUAGAAAUAUGUUUUUCCUUCGGGACGCAGAGACAGGUGGUGCAUGGUUGUCGUCAGCUCGUGUCGUGAGAUGUUGGGUUAAGUCCCGCAACGAGCGCAACCCUUAUGGUCAGUUACUACGCAAGAGGACUCUGGCCAGACUGCCGUUGACAAAACGGAGGAAGGUGGGGAUGACGUCAAAUCAUCAUGCCCUUUAUGACUUGGGCUACACACGUACUACAAUGGCGUUAAACAAAGAGAAGCAAGACCGCGAGGUGGAGCAAAACUCAGAAACAACGUCUCAGUUCGGACUGCAGGCUGCAACUCGCCUGCACGAAGUCGGAAUUGCUAGUAAUCGCAGAUCAGCAUGCUGCGGUGAAUACGUUCCCGGGCCUUGUACACACCGCCCGUCACACCAUGAGAGCCGGGGGGACCCGAAGUCGGUAGUCUAACCGCAAGGAGGACGCCGCCGAAGGUAAAACUGGUGAUUGGGGUGAAGUCGAAACAAGGUAGCCGUAGGAGUACCUGCGGCUG
rnacentral:rRNA from 1 species